rnacentral:misc_RNA from 1 species
AACGCAAAUUGCGCCUUCUUUCGGAAGGCAUGUCUGUUUGAGGGCACCAUUUAACAAAUAAUGUGCGCGUCGUUUUUACGAGCGAUGUGCACACGUUGAUGAGCUUUUCCGAAAAAACCAGGUUUUUUUGGUGGCGCAUAAUGAACAGCGUGGGCUUUUUCUUCGAUUCUCGUGUAGUAAAUGUUCAACGCUUGGGUUGAGAAAAAGUGCGUGCCGCGCAAUGGGUGUGGCGAAUUUUACCCCUGCCCCAAUGCCACUCUUUCCUUGCGAAAGAACAUCUUUUAUUCAGGGCCUCAAAUCAGACAAGAAUACCCGCUGAACUUAA